UACGUAGGGUGCGAGCGUUAAUCGGAAUUACUGGGCGUAAAGAGCUCGUAGGUGGUUUGUCGCGUUGUUCGUGAAAACUCACAGCUCAACUGUGGGCGUGCGGGCGAUACGGGCAGACUGGAGUACUGCAGGGGAGACUGGAAUUCCUGGUGUAGCGGUGGAAUGCGUAGAGAUCCGGAGGAACACCAGCGGCGAAGGCGGCAGCCUGGACUGGUCCUGACACUCAUGAGCGAAAGCGUGGGGAGCGAUCCGG
rnacentral:rRNA from 1 species